rnacentral:rRNA from 1 species
UACGAUGGGUGCAAGCGUUACUCGGAAUUACUGGGCGUAAAGCGUGCGUAGGUGGUUCGUUAAGUCUGAUGUGAAAGCCCUGGGCUCAACCUGGGAAUGGCAUUGGAAACUGGCUGGCUAGAGUGUGGCAGAGGGGGGUGGAAUUCCGCGUGUAGCAGUGAAAUGCGUAGAGAUGCGGAGGAACACCGAUGGCGAAGGCAGCCCCCUGGGCUGACACUGACGCUCAGGCACGAAAGCGUGGGGAGCAAACAGG